rnacentral:snRNA from 1 species
AGCUUUGCACAGUGGCAGUAUCGCAGCCAUUGAGGUUUAUUUGAGGCACUGUUAUUGUUAAUUUUAAAAAAAGAACCAUGGCUGGAGAGAUGGCUUAACAGUUAUAGCACUUUCCUGUGAGGCCUAAGGACU